rnacentral:ncRNA from 1 species
CUUAUCAAGAGCGACGGAGGGAACAGGCCCUGUGAUGUCCGGCAACCUGCCGCCAGUCUGAGCGGACUGACGCGGCAAGGUGCUAAAUCCUGCGGGUAACACCGACAGAUGAGG